CUAACCUCCACCCGUGAAUACCUGACCAACGUUGCUUCGGCGGUGCGCCCCCCCGGGGGUAGCCGCCGGAGACCACACCGAACCUCCUGUCUUUAGUGUUGUCUGAGCUUGAUAGCAAACCUAUUAAAACUUUCAACAAUGGAUCUCUUGGUUCCGGCAUCGAUGAAGAACGCAGCGAACUGCGAUAAGUAAUGUGAAUUGCAGAAUUCAGUGAAUCAUCGAGUCUUUGAACGCACAUUGCGCCCCCUGGCAUUCCGGGGGGCAUGCCUGUCCGAGCGUCAUUGCUGCCCUUCAAGCCCGGCUUGUGUGUUGGGUCGUCGUCCCCCCCGGGGGACGGGCCCGAAAGGCAGCGGCGGCACCGCGUCCGGUCCUCGAGCGUAUGGGGCUUUGUCACCCGCUCGAUUAGGGCCGGCCGGGCGCCAGCCGGCGUCUCCAACCUUCUAUUUUACCAGGUUGACCUCGGAUCAGGUAGGGAUACCCGCUGAACUUAAGCAUAUC
rnacentral:rRNA from 1 species